AUAUAUCUUUUAUUACUAUUUGAUAAUCGAGUUUACUCUUUGGAAUGGCAAAUCUUCCUGUGGAAAUCACUAUGAUUAUCCUCUCAAAUUUAUCGAUAAAAUCUCUAUUAUGUACGAUUUAAGUGUAUUUCUAAGCCAUGGCGUUGUUGGAUUUCAAGUCCAAAUUUGCGGCUCUCGAAUCAACAGCAAAAAGGAGUAAUGCGCAGCUCAUUAAUCCGCUUCAUAUAUUUUUCCUCGCAUAAAAAGGAAUCAUACCCAAGCUUUUGCAUUGUUGGGUUCUUGUCAUGGUCUUAUAUUGAUAAAUACUUACUUAUUUGUGGAAUCCUGUCACGCGAUUUUCCAUUUUCUUAUGGAAGUUCCUUUCCUCCUUUUCCAUUUUUUACUUUUAGGCAUAUGUGAAAAAUGUAACACCAAAAGGAUGUUUAAGUAAUGCUUUCGCGCAAAGUUGAUGCAAUAAAAUUCUCCUGUCAAACUUGUCUGAUGGAUAUGUGGAAAAUCCAGAGAGAAAGAAUUCCCUGUUGGGAAACUUGUCAUUGAAAAUUUGGUAUCCGUGGAGCCAUUGUUCAAGCUUUAUCACCUUUGCAACUUCAUCACCGUAACAAGAUUGCCAUUCAAGCUGAUGAGCAUUUCGGGAAGAUUGUCAUGGCAGUUCCUCUUUUAGUCUCAAAAGCUCUUGAACUCUUUCUGCAAGAUCUUUGUGACCAUACAUAUGAUAUCAACCUCAAAAAAGGAUCAAAAACUAUGAAUUCUUUCCAUUAUUUUUAAUGAGCUUGAUUUCCUCAAGGGUGUAAUGAGCGGAAUUCAUCUAGGUGGGUCGGAUGCUGGUGCUGAAUCUGCUACCAAAAGAAGGGUAUUUGAAGCAGAGUUUACUUCAUUUUCAGCUAUAAAAUUCUAAAAUUUCAAGAAAAAAAAUUGUCAAAAUCAGAACUCUCAAGGCUUUCACACGUUUUGCAAUAAAAUUUACUGUCAAGUUCAUCAAUCUCCCUAUUGCAAUUCUUACAGCUCAGGAAUAACAUGAUUGGAGCUACUUUUGAGCGGAAUUUGUUGAACAAAUUCGUCCACACUUGGAUGAAUCAUUGAUAAACAUGUCAUUGUGGUUAUGCAAGUCAUACAACCUCACAAGUUUAAAGAUUUUCAACUAACGAUGUACAUUUGAAAAUUUUAUUGUAAGUGUAUAUCUAUUUGCAUUUGAUUACAUAUAUAUACAUAAAUGUAGGAAAAUUCUCUGUACGUAAUUUUUUGACAGUUUCAAAACUAUGGAUUAAUCCUAAACUGCCUGAAGUUGCUGAUUUUAUUUCCAGGUUUAUAUAUACUCCUACAUCCUCUAUUUAUAUUUUUUUAGUAACUUGGAGAAUUUGUUAUAUGAUAGAUAUUUUAACAAAUUUUUAUACAUUAUAGAAUGAAAAUGUAUGUGGAGAUAAAUCUGAGAGGAUUAGUCAACUGUCCUCUCAACAUAGUUAUUCUAUUUCAGAUGAGUUGGCUUUUGAAGCAGUUGAAGUUAAAACUAUCAAGCAGUUAAUUGAGUGCAUGGACGAAGGAAGCUUCUAUGUUGCUGCAACCAUAUUACAUAUAGAUCUUGAUAAAUAAUGGUCAUACCUGAGCUGUAACAAUUACAGUAGGAAGAUUGAUGAUGAUUAUUAUGUACGUGGGGGACUUUGUUUCGUCUCUUCCGAGAAUGUUUACAAGGCAAUGCUGAUUAUGCAACAUCAGACCGCAGAUUUUGGUGGUGAGUUUGUUAUAGUUGCUAGUCUUAAAGACGAAGAAUGGAGACCACUCGAAUUCCCUUGGGAUAUCCUCUCAAUGAGUACUGUUUUUACAUUUCAGGGACGACAAAAUAUGUAACAAUGAUAAGACCAAGAGAUUUGGGGAGGGUAUGUGGGAGCGCUUUGAUUCUUUUAACCAAGUAAUUUAUUUUGAUCCCAUCGCUGAAAAGUUUCAUAUGUUUCCGGUCCCUAAGCCUAAACCUAAUCAAGAAGAGAAUGUUAUCAUUGGUUUAGGAGUUUUAAAUGAAUGUCUUUGUAUGACUCGAUUAAAAGAUGAUAAUAAGAGUGGUGUUGAGAUAUUGGUCAUGAAGGAAUACGGAGUGAAGAAAUCAUGAACAUCCUUACUUUUCAUCAGAAAUUUAAGAAUAAAUCCUUCUUACUACUCUGUAGUGCCCUUUUUCAUGACAGAAAUAUAGGUUCUUUUACGAGGAAAAAUUGUUGCAUACUAUCCCAAGAAUGAUAAUAGGAGAGACAUUCUCAUCGACAAAGAGAGCGAACUUAAUUUUGGCGUCAUCACUACCUAUGUGUAAAGCUUGAUCUCACCAAAGAAAUACUACCGGAGUGAGAAUCACAAACAAUUUGGAGAGCUUUGAAGGAAAAGAGUUCCCCAUAGAGGAUCUUUUAUUUAUUUUUUAUUUUUCUACUCUUAAGUUAAACCUAUAUAUUGACUCAAGAAACACCAAAAAUGCUGCUAAAGAACUUAAAUCCAUUACUCCAAAAGCCAUUUAUGCUAAUCAUCAAUUAUGUCAUUUAAAUAAAAUUAUAACGUCUCUUUCCAAACAUUUUGUGCAGUUUCUCACUCCAGUAGUAUUCCUUUGGCGACAUCAAGCUUUCCACAUAUGUAACCAUGGGGCCAUAUGUAAAUUUCCUCCCUAUCCCGACAUCGAGAAUGUCUCUCCUAUUAUCAUUCUUAGGAUUGUAUACAAUAACUUUUGAGUCAUAAUUCCAUAAGAAGAAUUUAUUUCUAAAUCCCUUAUGAUAUAUAAAGAUGUCCAUGAUUCCUUUACUCCAUAUCCCUUCAUAACCAAUAUCUCAGCUCCAGCCUUAUCAUCAUCCAGGCGAGUCAUACAAAGACAUUGAUUUGAAACUCCUAAACCAACUAUAACAUUCUCUUCUUGAUUUGUCGAGGAGGAUGAAUAUGAUGUGGUACCUAGGUGCUCUUUAGGUGUAUCAAUUUUGGGUGUUAAUGGAAUACUUUCACGGUCUACCAUGGUCAGCUCUAGCCCUUGUGAAUAUUCUUCUCACGAUGAUUUAUCUUAUUAAACGUUAUAAUGACU